CUACGGGCCGCAGCAGUCAAGAAUAUUCCACAAUGCACGAAAGUGUGAUGGAGCGACACCGCGUGUAGGAAGAAGCCCUUCGGGGUGUAAACUACUUUUCUUAGGGAAGAAUUUGUGACGGUACCUAAGGAAUAAGAGGUUGCUAACUCUGUGCCAGCAGCAGCGGUAAUACAGAGACCUCGAGCGUUAUCCGGAUUCAUUGGGCGUAAAGCGUGCCGCAGGUUGCAAUACAAGUUGAAAGUCAAAUCUUAGGGCCUAACUCUGAGACUGCUUUCAAAACUGUAUAGCUAGAGGCUGGGAGAGGCACACGGAACGGUUGGUGUAGUAGUAAAAUGCGUUGAUAUCAACCGGAACACCAAAGGCGAAGGCAGUGUGCUAGAACAAGCCUGACACUCAUGGACGAAAGCGUGGGUAGCGAAAGGGAUUAGAUACCCCCGUAGUC
rnacentral:rRNA from 1 species